GACGAACCGUGCGAACGUUAUUCGGAAUCAUUGGGCUUAAAGGGCGCGUAGGCGGCGAUAUAAGUUGGAAGUGAAAUCCCAUCGGCUCAACCGUGGAAUAGCUCCCAGUACUGUAUCGCUCGAGGGGGAUAGGGGUCUGCGGAACUACCGGUGGAGCGGUGAAAUGUGUUGAUAUCGGUGGGAACGCCAGUGGCGAAAGCGGCAGACUUGACCCUUCCUGACGCGUGAGGCGGCGAAAAGCUAGGGGAGCAACGGG
rnacentral:rRNA from 1 species